UACGUAGGGGGCAAGCGUUGUCCGGAUUUAUUGGGCGUAAAGAGCGUGUAGGCGGCCAGACAGGUCCGUUGUGAAAACUCCAGGCUCAACCUGGAGACGCCACCUCAUACUGCCGUGGCUAGAGUCCGGUAGGGGAGCAUGGAAUUCCUGGUGCAGCGGUGAAAUGCGCAGAUAUCAGGAGGAACACCAGUGGCGAAGGCGGUGCUCUGGGCCGGAACUGACGCUGAGGAGCGAAAGCGUGGGGAGCGAACAGG
rnacentral:rRNA from 1 species